UGGGUUGCUUAAAUACUAUUCU
rnacentral:miRNA from 1 species